rnacentral:rRNA from 1 species
UACGUAGGGUGCAAGCGUUGUCCGGAAUUAUUGGGCGUAAAGAGCUCGUAGGCGGUUUGUCGCGUCUGCUGUGAAAACUCGGGGCUUAACUCCGGGCCUGCAGUGGGUACGGGCAGACUAGAGUGCGGUAGGGGAGACUGGAAUUCCUGGUGUAGCGGUGAAAUGCGCAGAUAUCAGGAGGAACACCGGUGGCGAAGGCGGCUCACUGGCCCGGAACUGACGCUGAGACGCGAAAGCGUGGGGAGCAAACAGG